UGGAAACUCUCCAUCGCCAAAAAGGAGGCAUACUCCUAGGCCUCCAACGCCGCGUCAAUCCAGUUCACCAAAGUCCUUUACGAAAUCCCCUCCACCACCUUCUUCAAAGUCUUCGCCUUCCACUAGAUCACAUCCUCCACCACCACCGUCAUCCCACUCUUCACCAAUGCCUCCUUUCCAUUCCCCACCGUCGCCACCACCACCGAAUUACUCUCACUCUUUAACUCCACCACCCCCGACUCAAAGAGUGUCACCAAAGACGCAUCUUCCACUGCCACCUCCGCCUGUUCACUACGAGCCCAUACAAUCUCCACCUCCACCACCAAUGGUACAACCACCUGCACCAGCCCCAUCAGGCCAUUACUAUAGUGCACCACCACCACCAAACCGUUACUCCAACGCCCCACCACCAAGCCAUUACCACAAUACACCACCCUCACCACCAAUGGAGCAACCACCUCGAACUCCAUCAGGCCAUUACUAUAAUAAUCCACCACCACCACCACAAUCACCAAACCAUUACUACAACAUACCUUCGCCACCACCACCAACAAAGAAUAUAUCACCAAGUACCCAUUAUGCACCACCUCCUCCCCCAUCUGUUCAUUAUGUUCCCACGCCUAGUCAUUCAUCUCCUCCACCGCCGCCACCUCAAGUUCAGUAUUUUCCACCUCCUUAUCCGUCAAGAGGGCAGCAAGCAAGUCCACCUCCACCACCAUCUCAUGAGCAUACGGGGACUCAAUCUCCACCUCCACCAGCAGAGUAUCAUCCACCUCCCAAGGAGUCAUGUCAUCCUAUCCCUCCUCCACCCCCACCAGAAUGCACAACUCCCGUAUCAGCACCACCACCGCCAAGCCAACAUUCAACCCCAUCACCAUAUGCACCAGCACCUGGUCAUCACUAUUCAAAACCAUCCCCAC
rnacentral:lncRNA from 1 species